rnacentral:rRNA from 1 species
GAUGAACGCUGGCGGCGUGCUUAACACAUGCAAGUCGAACGGAAAGGCUCCUGCUUGCCGGGGUACUCGAGUGGCGAACGGGUGAGUAACACGUGGGUGACCUGCCCUUCACUUCGGGAUGAGCCUUGGAAACUGGGUCUAAUACCGGAUAGGACCACAUUUUGGAUGGUGUGGUGGAAAGUUUUUCGGUGUGGGAUGAGCUCGCGGCCUAUCAGCUUGUUGGUGGGGUAAUGGCCUACGAAGGCGUCGACGGGUAGCCGGCCUGAGAGGGUGUACGGCCACAUUGGGACUGAGAUACGGCCCAGACUCCUACGGGAGGCAGCAGUGGGGAAUAUUGCACAAUGGGCGCAAGCCUGAUGCAGCGACGCCGCGUGGGGGAUGACGGCCUUCGGGUUGUAAACUGCUUUCGCUAGGGACGAAGCGCAAGUGACGGUACCUGGAGAAGAAGCACCGGCUAACUACGUG